rnacentral:snRNA from 1 species
GUGUUGCAUGAAAGGAAAGAAGGUGGGCACUCCCCUUGACAAGGAUAGCAGAGCCCUUAGGCCUGACAACAAGUCUGACAGCAAGGCACCACAGCUACCCUGCCCAAUCUCCUCCCCAACCCCUCACUGUUAGCUAAAGCCCCUUA